CCUAUGGGUCCCUCUGGGGUCUCUAUGGGUCUCUUUGGGUCUCUCUAUGGGUCCCCAUGGGUCUCUAUGUGUCUCUAUGGGUCUGUAUGGGGUCUCCAUGGGGUCCCUAUGGGUCGCAGUGGGUGUGUAUGUGUCCCUAUGGGUCUCUAUGGGGUCUCUGUGGGGUCCCUAUGGGUCGCAGUGGGUCUGUAUGUGUCCCUAUGGGUAGCAGUGGGUGUGUAUGUGUCCCUAUGGGUCUCUAUGGGGUCUCUGUGGGGUCCCUAUGGGUCGCAGUGGGUCUGUAUGUGUCCCUAUGGGUAGCAGUGGGUGUGUAUGUGUCCCUAUGGGUCGCAGUGGGUCUGUAUGUGUCCCUAUGGGUCUCUAUGGGGUGUCUGUGGGGUCCCUAUGGGUCGCAGUGGGUGUGUAUGUGUCCCUAUGGGUCCCUAUGGGUCGCAGGGUGUGUAUGUGUCCCUAUGGGUCGCAGUGGGUCCCUAUGGGUCGCAGUGGGUCUGUAUGUGUCCCUAUGGGUCUGUAUGGGGUCUCCAUGGGGUCCCUAUGGGUCGCAGUGGGUCCCUAUGGGUUGCAGUGGGUGUGUAUGUGUCCCUAUGGGUCUGUAUGUGUCCCUAUGGGUCGCAGUGGGUCUCUAUGUGUCCCUAUGGGUCGCAGUGGGUCCCUAUGGGUCGCAGUGGGUCUGUAUGUGUCCCUAUGGGUAGCAGUGGGUCCCUAUGGGUCGCAGGGUGUGUAUGUGUCUCUAUGGGUCUCUGUGGGGUCUCUGUGGGGUCCCUAUGGGUUGCAGGGUGUGUGUAUGUGUCCCUAUGGGUCGCAGUGGGUCCCUAUGGGUCGCAGUGGGUGUGUAUGUGUCCCUAUGGGUCUCUAUGGGGUCUCUGUGGGGUCCCUAUGGGUCGCAGUGGGUCUGUAUGUGUCCCUAUGGGUAGCAGUGGGUGUGUAUGUGUCCCUAUGGGUCGCAGUGGGUCCCUAUGGGUCGCAGUGGGUCCCUAUGGGUCGCAGGGUGUGUAUAUGUCCCUAUGGGUCGCAGUGGGUGUGUAUGUGUCCCUAUGGGUCUGUAUGUGUCCCUAUGGGUCGCAGUGGGUCUCUAUGUGUCCCUAAGGGUCGCAGUGGGUCCCUAUGGGUCGCAGUGGGUCUGUAUGUGUCCCUAUGGGUAGCAGUGGGUCCCUAUGGGUCGCAGGGUGUGUAUGUGUCUCUAUGGGUCUCUGUGGGGUCUCUGUGGGGUCCCUAUGGGUUGCAGGGUGUGUGUAUGUGUCCCUAUGGGUCGCAGUGGGUCCCUAUGGGUCGCAGUGGGUGUGUAUGUGUCCCUAUAGGUCUGUAUGGUGUCUCUGUGGGGUCCCUAUGGGUCGCAGUGGGUGUGUAUGUGUCCCUAUGGGUCGCAGGGUGUGUAUGUGUCCCUAUGGGUCGCAGUGGGUCCCUAUGGGUCCCUGUGGGUGUGUAUGUGUCCCUAUGGGUCUGUAUGUGUCCCUAUGGGUCGCAGUGGGUCCCUAUGGGUUGCAGUGGGUCCCUAUGGGUCGCAGUGUGUGUGUAUGUGUCCCUAUGGGUCGCAGUGGGUCCCUAUGGGUCGCAGUGUAUGUGUCGCUAUGGGCUCAGUGCGCGGUGUGAGUGUGGUUCCGCUGUGGGUCAGAUGCAGCGCUGGGUGCGUUUCGGCCCCACGGAAUCGGACGCCGUCUGCGUGGGCUGCGCUGAGGGCUCCGUGGGGCGGCGCUGCCACAGCUGCCGGGACGGCUUCUUCCUCCUGCAGGGCGUCUGCGUGCCGUGAGUGCCCCACAGCGCCCCAUAGCACUGCCCCAUAGCGCCCCAUAGCACUGCCCCAUAGCACUGCCCCAUAGCUUCUUCCUCCUGCAGGGCGUCUGCGUGCCAUGAGUGCCCCAUAGCGCUGCCCCAUAGCCCUGCCCCAUAGCACUGCCCCAUAGCACUGCCCCAUAGCGCCCCAUAGCACUGCCCCAUAGCACUGCCCAUAGCUUCUUCCUCCUGCAGGGCGUCUGCGUGCCGUGAGUGCCCCAUAGCGCUGCCCCAUAGCGCCCCAUAGCACUGCCCCAUAGCACUGCCCCAUAGCGCCCCAUAGCACUGCCCCAUAGCACUGCCCCAUAGCUUCUUACUCCUGCAGGGCGUCUGCGUGCCGUGAGUGCCCCAUAGCGCUGCCCCAUAGCGCCCCAUAGCACUGCCCCAUAGCACUGCCCCAUAGCUUCUUCCUCCUGCAGGGCGUCUGCGUGCCGUGAGUGCGCCAUAGCGCUGCCCCAUAGCGCCCCAUAGCACUGCCCCAUAGCACUGCCCCAUAGCGCCCCAUAGCACUGCCCCAUAGCACUGCCCCAUAGCUUCUUCCUCCUGCAGGGCGUCUGCGUGCCGUGAGUGCGCCAUAGCGCUGCCCCAUAGCGCCCCAUAGCACUGCCCCAUAGCACUGCCCCAUAGCGCCCCAUAGCACUGCCCCAUAGCACUGCCCAUAGCUUCUUCCUCCUGCAGGGCGUCUGCGUGCCGUGAGUGCCCCAUAGCGCCCCAUAGCGCCCCAUAGCGCUGCCCCAUAGCACUGCCCCAUAGCGCCCCAUAGCACUGCCCCAUAGCACUGCCCCAUAGCUUCUUCCUCCUGCAGGGCGUCUGCGUGCCGUGAGUGCCCCAUAGCGCUGCCCCAUAGCGACCCAUAGCGGCCCAUAGCACUGCCCCAUAGCGCCCCAUAGCACUGCCCCAUAGCACUGCCCCAUAGCUUCUUCCUCCUGCAGGGCGUCUGCGUGCCGUGAGUGCCCCACAGCGCCCCAUAGCGCCCCAUAGCACUGCCCCAUAGCUUCUUCCUCCUGCAGGGCGUCUGCGUGCCGUGAGUGCCCCAUAGCGCCCCAUAGCACUGCCCCAUAGCACUGCCCCAUAGCGCCCCAUAGCACUGCCCCAUAGCUUCUUCCUCCUGCAGGGCGUCUGCGUGCCGUGAGUGCCCCAUAGCGCCCCAUAGCACUGCCCCAUAGCGCCCCAUAGCACUGCCCCAUAGCUUCUUCCUCCUGCAGGGCGUCUGCGUGCCGUGAGUGCCCCAUAGCACUGCCCCAUAGCACUGCCCCAUAGCUUCUUCCUCCUGCAGGGCGUCUGCGUGCCGUGAGUGCCCCAUAGCGCUGCCCCAUAGCGCCCCAUAGCACUGCCCCAUAGCACUGCCCCAUAGCUUCUUCCUCCUGCAGGGCGUCUGCGUGCCGUGAGUGCGCCAUAGCGCUGCCACAUAGCGCCCCAUAGCACUGCCCCAUAGCACUGCCCCAUAGCGCCCCAUAGCACUGCCCCAUAGCACUGCCCCAUAGCUUCUUCCUCCUGCAGGGCGUCUGCGUGCCGUGAGUGCCCCAUAGCGCUGCCCCAUAGCGCCCCAUAGCACUGCCCCAUAGCACUGCCCCAUAGCGCCCCAUAGCACUGCCCCAUAGCACUGCCCCAUAGCUUCUUCCUCCUGCAGGGCGUCUGCGUGCCGUGAGUGCCCCAUAGCGCUGCCCCAUAGCGCCCCAUAGCACUGCCCCAUAGCGCCCCAUAGCACUGCCCCAUAGCACUGCCCCAUAGCUUCUUCCUCCUGCAGGGCGUCUGCGUGCCCGUGAGUGCGCCAUAGCGCUGCCCCAUAGCGCCCCAUAGCACUGCCCCAUAGCACUGCCCCAUAGCGCCCCAUAGCACUGCCCCAUAGCACUGCCCCAUAGCUUCUUCCUCCUGCAGGGCGUCUGCGUGCCGUGAGUGCCCCAUAGCGCUGCCCCAUAGCGCCCAUAGCACUGCCCCAUAGCACUGCCCCAUAGCGCCCCAUAGCACUGCCCCAUAGCACUGCCCCAUAGCUUCUUCUCCUGCAGGGCGUCUGCGUGCCGUGAGUGCCCCAUAGCGCCCCAUAGCGCCCCAUAGCGCUGCCCCAUAGCACUGCCCCAUAGCGCCCCAUAGCACUGCCCCAUAGCACUGCCCCAUAGCUUCUUCCUCCUGCAGGGCGUCUGCGUGCCGUGAGUGCCCCAUAGCGCUGCCCCAUAGCGACCCAUAGCGGCCAUAGCACUGCCCCAUAGCGCCCCAUAGCACUGCCCCAUAGCACUGCCCCAUAGCUUCUUCCUCCUGCAGGGCGUCUGCGUGCCGUGAGUGCCCCAUAGCGCCCCAUAGCACUGCCCCAUAGCGCCCCAUAGCACUGCCCCAUAGCACUGCCCCAUAGCACUGCCCCAUAGCUUCUUCCUCCUGCAGGGCGUCUGCGUGCCGUGAGUGCCCCACAGCGCCCCAUAGCGCCCCAUAGCACUGCCCCAUAGCUUCUUCCUCCUGCAGGGCGUCUGCGUGCCGUGAGUGCCCAUAGCGCUGCCCCAUAGCGCCCCAUAGCACUGCCCCAUAGCACUGCCCCAUAGCUUCUUCCUCCUGCAGGGCGUCUGCGUGCCGUGAGUGCGCCAUAGCGCUGCCCCAUAGCGCCCCAUAGCACUGCCCCAUAGCACUGCCCCAUAGCGCCCCAUAGCACUGCCCCAUAGCACUGCCCCAUAGCUUCUUCCUCCUGCAGGGCGUCUGCGUGCCGUGAGUGCCCCAUAGCGCUGCCCCAUAGCGCCCCAUAGCACUGCCCCAUAGCACUGCCCCAUAGCUUCUUCCUCCUGCAGGGCGUCUGCGUGCCGUGAGUGCCCCAUAGCGCCCCAUAGCGCCCCAUAGCGCUGCCCCAUAGCACUGCCCCAUAGCGCCCCAUAGCACUGCCCCAUAGCACUGCCCCAUAGCUUCUUCCUCCUGCAGGGCGUCUGCGUGCCGUGAGUGCCCCAUAGCGCUGCCCCAUAGCGACCCAUAGCGGCCCAUAGCACUGCCCCAUAGCGCCCCAUAGCACUGCCCCAUAGCACUGCCCCAUAGCUUCUUCCUCCUGCAGGGCGUCUGCGUGCCGUGAGUGCCCCACAGCGCCCCAUAGCACUGCCCCAUAGCACUGCCCCAUAGCUUCUUCCUCCUGCAGGGCGUCUGCGUGCCGUGAGUGCCCCAUAGCGCCCCAUAGCACUGCCCCAUAGCGCCCCAUAGCACUGCCCCAUAGCACUGCCCCAUAGCUUCUUCCUCCUGCAGGGCGCCUGCGUGCCGUGAGUGCCCCAUAGCGCCCCAUAGCGCCCCAUAGCACUGCCCCAUAGCACUGCCCCAUAGCUUCUUCCUCCUGCAGGGCGUCUGCGUGCCGUGAGUGCCCCAUAGCGCCCCAUAGCGCCCCAUAGCACUGCCCCAUAGCACUGCCCCCUAGCUUCUUCCUCCUGCAGGGCGUCUGCGUGCCGUGAGUGCCCCACAGCGCCCCAUAGCACUGCCCCACAGCGCCCCAUAGCACCCCAUAGCACUGCCCCAUAGCAACCCAUAGCGCCCCAUAGCACUGCCCCAUAGCUUCUUCCUCCUGCAGGGCGUCUGCGUGCCGUGAGUGCCCCAUAGCGCUGCCCCAUAGCGCCCCAUAGCACUGCCCCAUAGCACUGCCCCAUAGCUUCAUCCUCCUGCAGGGCGUCUGCGUGCCGUGAGUGCCCCACAGCGCCCCAUAGCGCCCCAUAGCACUGCCCCAUAGCACUGCCCCAUAGCUUCUUCCUCCUGCAGGGCGUCUGCGUGCCGUGAGUGCCCCACAGCGCCCCAUAGCACUGCUCCAUAGCGCCCCAUAGCGCCCCAUAGCACUGCCCCAUAGCUUCUUCUCCUGCAGGGCGUCUGCGUGCCGUGAGUGCCCCAUAGCGCCCCAUAGCACUGCCCCAUAGCGCCCCAUAGCGCCCCAUAGCACUGCCCCCUAGCUUCUUCCUCCUGCAGGGCGUCUGCGUGCCGUGAGUGCCCCAUAGCGCCCCAUAGCACUGCCCCAUAGCGCCCCAUAGCACUGCCCCAUAGCUUCUUCCUCCUGCAGGGCGUCUGCAUGCCGUGAGUGCCCCAUAGCGCCCCAUAGCACUGCCCCAUAGCACUGCCCCAUAGCACUGCCCCAUAGCGCCCCAUAGCACUGCCCCAUAGCACUGCCCCAUAGCUUCUUCCUCCUGCAGGGCGUCUGCGUGCCGUGAGUGCCCCAUAGCGCUGCCCCAUAGCGCCCCAUAGCACUGCCCCAUAGCACUGCCCCAUAGUGCCUCAUAGCGCUGCCCCAUAGUGCCCCAUAGCGACUCAUUCUGUGCCCCACAGCUGCACAGCUGUCCCACAAUGUCCCCCCAAUGUCCCCAUUCACACU
rnacentral:lncRNA from 7 species